rnacentral:rRNA from 1 species
GAGUUUGAUCAUGGCUCAGAUUGAACGCUGGCGGCAGGCCUAACACAUGCAAGUCGAACGGUAACAGGAAGUAGCUUGCUACUUUGCUGACGAGUGGCGGACGGGUGAGUAAUGUCUGGGAAACUGCCUGAUGGAGGGGGAUAACUACUGGAAACGGUAGCUAAUACCGCAUAACGUCGCAAGACCAAAGAGGGGGACCUUCGGGCCUCUUGCCAUCAGAUGUGCCCAGAUGGGAUUAGCUAGUAGGUGGGGUAACGGCUCACCUAGGCGACGAUCCCUAGCUGGUCUGAGAGGAUGACCAGCCACACUGGAACUGAGACACGGUCCAGACUCCUACGGGAGGCAGCAGUGGGGAAUAUUGCACAAUGGGCGCAAGCCUGAUGCAGCCAUGCCGCGUGUAUGAAGAAGGCCUUCGGGUUGUAAAGUACUUUCAGCGGGGAGGAAGGCGGUGAGGUUAAUAACCUCACCGAUUGACGUUACCCGCAGAAGAAGCACCGGCUAACUCCGUGCCAGCAGCCGCGGUAAUACGGAGGGUGCAAGCGUUAAUCGGAAUUACUGGGCGUAAAGCGCACGCAGGCGGUCUGUCAAGUCGGAUGUGAAAUCCCCGGGCUCAACCUGGGAACUGCAUUCGAAACUGGCAGGCUAGAGUCUUGUAGAGGGGGGUAGAAUUCCAAGUGUAGCGGUGAAAUGCGUAGAGAUCUGGAGGAAUACCGGUGGCGAAGGCGGCCCCCUGGACAAAGACUGACGCUCAGGUGCGAAAGCGUGGGGAGCAAACAGGAUUAGAUACCCUGGUAGUCCACGCCGUAAACGAUGUCGAUUUGGAGGUUGUGCCCUUGAGGCGUGGCUUCCGGAGCUAACGCGUUAAAUCGACCGCCUGGGGAGUACGGCCGCAAGGUUAAAACUCAAAUGAAUUGACGGGGGCCCGCACAAGCGGUGGAGCAUGGUGGUUUAAUUCGAUGCAACGCGAAGAACCUUACCUGGUCUUGACAUCCACAGAACUUAGCAGAGAUGCUUUGGUGCCUUCGGGAACUGUGAGACAGGUGCUGCAUGGCUGUCGUCAGCUCGUGUUGUGAAAUGUUGGGUUAAGUCCCGCAACGAGCGCAACCCUUAUCCUUUGUUGCCAGCGGUCCGGCCGGGAACUCAAAGGAGACUGCCAGUGAUAAACUGGAGGAAGGUGGGGAUGACGUCAAGUCAUCAUGGCCCUUACGACCAGGGCUACACACGUGCUACAAUGGCGCAUACAAAGAGAAGCGACCUCGCGAGAGCAAGCGGACCUCAUAAAGUGCGUCGUAGUCCGGAUUGGAGUCUGCAACUCGACUCCAUGAAGUCGGAAUCGCUAGUAAUCGUAGAUCAGAAUGCUACGGUGAAUACGUUCCCGGGCCUUGUACACACCGCCCGUCACACCAUGGGAGUGGGUUGCAAAAGAAGUAGGUAGCUUAACCUUCGGGAGGGCGCUUACCACUUUGUGAUUCAUGACUGGGGUGAAGUCGUAACAAGGUAACC